GUGUUGUUGAAGUUGACCUCCAGAGGCGAGUCCUUGUUGAAGAGGGCAAAGAGGCGCUUGGACCAGAAGGAAGGAAUGAAUUCUUUGGACUGCAGCCCCCAGUAGAUGUUGAACACCCUGUGGAGGUCUAACGCCAGACAGCUGCAAUUGUACACCAGCACGCCCAGCUCCUUCCUCUGCUGGCUGGAAGCUGGACUCGUAUUCUGAGGAGUUGAGAAGCCACAGCGGGGACACAAUCUCCACAACGCGCAUGGCUUGAUCCAGUCACCUGAGCAUGAAGAGAAAAUCAACUAUGAUGUCUUCUUUACUGUAAACUUGGAGUCGCCACAGAAGGUGAGGACGUACACAGUAAAUUGUGCCACACUGCUUCGUGCUGUGUUUUGUUCUGUUUGCCACCCGGGUAGGCAUAAAUUUCAGUGAGCUAUGCAGAUUGUUAUGGCGCCCAACAGGAGGAACAAAACCAUGAUACAGUACAGUAGCCACUAAUUGAGCUCACGCAGGGAAACUCAUAAUAAAAGCAUGCUAUAAAAGCCACAACGC